GCGGGGCCGGCGCAACCGGCCAGCGCGGCGGCCGCGCACGCCGCGAUCCAACGUUGUCGUGUGUUCAAGUCAUUCCCCCGCG
rnacentral:tRNA from 1 species